rnacentral:rRNA from 1 species
UCCUACGGGACGCAGCAGUGAGGAAUAUUGGUCAAUGGCCGAGAGGCUGAACCAGCCAAGUCGCGUGAGGGAUGACGGCCCUACGGGUUGUAAACCUCUUUUGUCGGGGAGCAAGACCCGCCUCGUGCAGGCGGAGCGAGAGUACCCGAAGAAAAAGCAUCGGCUAACUCCGUGCCAGCAGCCGCGGUAAUACGUAGGUGGCGAGCGUUAUCCGGAAUGAUUGGGCGUAAAGGGUGCGUAGGCGGCCUGCUAAGUCUGGAGUGAAAGGUACCGGCUCAACCGGUACAGGCUCUGGAAACUGGCGG